UGCAAGUUAGUGUAGUGGUGGCAUAAUAGACUCAUGUUCUAUUGGGGCUCGUUCGAAUCGGGCACUUGCUC
rnacentral:tRNA from 2 species